rnacentral:rRNA from 1 species
UUAGUCUUUUAAUUGGGGACUGGAAUGAAAGAGUAAACCGGGAGAAUUUUUUUAAAAUUAAAUUAAUGAAGUUAACUUUUUAGUAAAAAGGCUAAAAUUAUUCUUUUAGACAAGAAGACCCUAUAAAACUUUAUACUAAGAUUUUUGAGAAGAAGAUCGGAAGUAUUCCACUGGGGUGGUGAGAGAAAAAACUUCUCUUAAAAAAGAGAACGAACGUGUUUUUAUAUCUAGAAUUUCUGAAAAAGAAAUAAGUUACUUUAGGGAUAACAGCUUAAUUCACUUUAAAAGACCUUAUUGAUAAGUGAGUUUAUGACCUCGAUGUUGAAUUAAAAUGUCUUUUUUAUGCAGCAGUU